CGGAGGACCGGACGCGGUCGCUCCCGGCGGGGAACCGCCGGGGGAGGAAAGUCCGGACUCCAACGGACGGCAUGCUUGCUAACGGCAAGGCGUGGUGACGCGACGGAAAGUGCAACAGAGAGCAGACCGCCGGUGCAACGGUUCCGAAGUCCGAUUCGGGCUUGCGGCGCUGGAGGGCCGGCAAGGGUGAAACGGUGCGGUAAGAGCGCACCGCUCGGCCGGCGACGGUGCGAGGCGAUGGCAAACCCCAUGUGGAGCAAGACCAAAUAGGGAGUGCGGUUCGGGCUGUCCGUCCCGAUACCGGACCGUUCGCGGUCCGGGACGCCCUCCGGGUAGGUCGCAGAGAUGAAUGGCCGCCUCCUUUCGCCUGACGGUGACGGGACGAACAGAAUCCGGCUUACGAGGUCCUCCGGCAC
rnacentral:RNase_P_RNA from 1 species